CCUACGGGUGGCAGCAGUGGGGAAUAUUGCACAAUGGGCGCAAGCCUGAUGCAGCCAUGCCGCGUGUGUGAAGAAGGCCUUUGGGUUGUAAAGCACUUUCAGCGGGGAGGAAGGCGGUGAGGUUAAUAACCUCAUCGAUUGACGUUACCCGCAGAAGAAGCACCGGCUAACUCCGUGCCAGCAGCCGCGGUAAUACGGAGGGUGCAAGCGUUAAUCGGAAUUACUGGGCGUAAAGCGCACGCAGGCGGUCUGUCAAGUCGGAUGUGAAAUCCCCGGGCUCAACCUGGGAACUGCAUUCGAAACUGGCAGGCUAGAGUCUUGUAGAGGGGGGUAGAAUUCCAGGUGUAGCGGUGAAAUGCGUAGAGAUCUGGAGGAAUACCGGUGGCGAAGGCGGCCCCCUGGACAAAGACUGACGCUCAGGUGCGAAAGCGUGGGGAGCAAACAGGAUUAGAUACCCGAGUAGUC
rnacentral:rRNA from 1 species